AUUUGGAAGAUUGCUAGUUAUGUAUUUAUUAAAUAUAACUAGUUUUGUAGUUGUUGUUAUAUAUAUAAUUAUACUAUAUAAUAUUUGCUAUGAUACAACGAAUGCACAGGGAAUGCACGAGCAAAAUUAUUGUUAUAUAAUUAAAUUGACCGAGCAGCAUAAAACCUAAUGCACCUUUUUGAUAAUUAACUACGUCAGAAAUUUAUUUAUGAGAACGAGGUCCCAGGCCAAUUUAUAGAAAGGGCAUACUGGAAUAGCAUUGUACUGUUUCUAUUAAUUAUGAUAUUUUGGAAUAAAAAGUGUAUCAUGAGCUUAUAAAGUAUGCUGUUCAAAGUAUACGCCAUUCAAUAUUCGAUACAUAAUUUAUGUUAUAUUCGAGAAACUCAAUUCUACAUAUAAUAUUUAUUUAUUUUAUUGCGUCAUCUGAAGAUCAUAAGAUUUAAGUGCCAACAAAACAGAAGAGCAUGAAAAGAAGAAGAAAAUGAUAUGGCUGUACACAGCUGGAAUUUCCUGUACGUCGUGAUGGAACUUCAGUCGCGUUUGCUUC